GCAAGUCGAGGGGUAACAGAGGUAGCUUGCUACUUGCUGACGACCGGCGCACGGGUGCGUAACGCGUAUACAAUCUACCUUUUGCUGAGGAAUAGCCCAGAGAAAUUUGGAUUAAUGCCUCAUAGUAUGCAGACUUCGCAUGGAGACUGUAUUAAAGGUAACGGCAAAAGAUGAGUAUGCGGCCUAGUAGCUAGAGGGAGUGGUAACGGAACCAAAUGGCAACGAUAGGUAGGGGCCCUGAGAGGGGGAGC
rnacentral:rRNA from 1 species